CAGGCCUAACACAUGCAAGUCGAGCGGAUGACGGGAGCUUGCUCCUUGAUUCAGCGGCGGACGGGUGAGUAAUGCCUAGGAAUCUGCCUGGUAGUGGGGGACAACGUUUCGAAAGGAACGCUAAUACCGCAUACGUCCUACGGGAGAAAGCAGGGGACCUUCGGGCCUUGCGCUAUCAGAUGAGCCUAGGUCGGAUUAGCUAGUUGGUGAGGUAAUGGCUCACCAAGGCGACGAUCCGUAACUGGUCUGAGAGGAUGAUCAGUCACACUGGAACUGAGACACGGUCCAGACUCCUACGGGAGGCAGCAGUGGGGAAUAUUGGACAAUGGGCGAAAGCCUGAUCCAGCCAUGCCGUGUGUGUGAAGAAGGUCUUCGGAUUGUAAAGCACUUUAAGUUGGGAGGAAGGGCAGUAAGUUAAUACCUUGCUGUUUUGACGUUACCGACAGAAUAAGCACCGGCUAACUCUGUGCCAGCAGCCGCGGUAAU
rnacentral:rRNA from 1 species